GACGAACGCUGGCGGCGUGCCUAAUACAUGCAAGUUGAGCGCUGAAGGUUGGUACUUGUACCAACUGGAUGAGCAGCGAACGGGUGAGUAACGCGUGGGGAAUCUGCCUUUGAGCGGGGGACAACAUUUGGAAACGAAUGCUAAUACCGCAUAAAAACUUUAAACUCAAGUUUUAAGUUUGAAAGAUGCAAUUGCAUCACUCAAAGAUGAUCCCGCGUUGUAUUAGCUAGUUGGUGAGGUAAAGGCUCACCAAGGCGAUGAUACAUAGCCGACCUGAGAGGGUGAUCGGCCACACUGGGACUGAGACACGGCCCAAACUCCUACGGGAGGCAGCAGUAGGGAAUCUUCGGCAAUGGACGAAAGUCUGACCGAGCAACGCCGCGUGAGUGAAGAAGGUUUUCGGAUCGUAAAACUCUGUUGGUAGAGAAGAACGUUGGUGAGAGUGGAAAGCUCAUCAAGUGACGGUAACUACCCAGAAAGGGACGACUAACUACGUG
rnacentral:rRNA from 1 species